GAUUUCUUCUGGAGAUUCACUCUGCUGGAGUUUACCGUGUGAGUCCAGGAUAGGAACAGGAUGGUGCUCGUUUGGCUAGAAAGCAGUUUUUUCAGAAAAGGACUUGGCAUUUCUCAUGGAUCAUAAAUGGAACAGGAGCUAGCAAUGUGCCCUCACAGAAGAAGAAGAAAAAACAACAACAACAACAACAAAAACCCCAGUAUUCUACAGCUGUCUCAGGUCAUUGUCAGCAGGUCAUUGAAAAUAAUCCUUCAAGUAAAAUAACUCUGGAGUGCUGGGUCCAGUUCUGGGCUCUCCAAUACAAGGAAGACAUAGACAUACUGGAGAAAGCACAGUGAAGGACCAAAAAAUACAUCAUGUAAGGAAAGCCUGAGAGAGCUGAGACUCUUAAGUCUGAAGAAGAGAGGACUUAAAGAUGUCUCCCUGAUAUUUAUCUCUAUUAAUAUCUGAUAUAUAUGUGAUGGGAAUGAGUAAGGGAGAUAGAGUCUCUAUGGGGUACAGUGAAGGGGGAAAAAAACAAUGAACAAGCAAAUAAAUAAACGAAAGUCCAGCUUUUUUUUUCUGUGCAGGCAAUCAAGCAGAGUAGCAGAAUGCUCAGAGAGACUGUGGAAGUUCCAUCUCUGUAGAUUUUCAUAAUGUGACUGAACAUAUCUCUGAGGAACCUGCUCAAAUUCUCCUUGCUUUAAGUAGAGUGGUAGGACUGGAUGAUCUCCAAAAGCAUGUUUCUACCUCAAAUGUUUUGUAAUUCUUUCUGAGAAUAUACAGGCCAGGAUUUAUAUAACCUAAUUAAGAACAUCAAUAUUUUUACAUCUGUGCAUUGACACAUGUACUGCAACUUGAGAUAAUUAGCAUAUAUAUUGAGUAGAUUCAACUCACUGUGUAACAAAAGAUAUGAGAUACGCAGAUUGAGGUAUUCUUUCAUGUGUAUCUUUUUGUCUUUGUUUGCUUUUGAUAGCUAUACUAGAUUUUCAGUUCUCAAUUUAAUACCCUGGAGACUAUUUCCCUAUUUCUGAAAAUAAUACAGAAAUUCUUCAGUUUAAAGACUAAAACAAAGGUAUUUGAAAUCAGUAGUCACAUGGUAAACGUGCAAGUUCUCUUUCUGAGUAUGUAAAGCCUGUUUUUGUUCUGCUAAUACUGAUAAGAAAAAAAAAACAAAAACAAAACUAUUUCACUGAAUGCAGUUUUCAAAUUGAAUUUGGCCCUCAUUAUCCCCUCAUUUUAGAUGUUCUUCCCACUUCUGUUUGUAUGACUACUGCUUAGCAACAUUCAAUGGAUUAUUGACUACAAAGAGUUGGUACAUGCUUACUAAGAGAAAUUAACCUUCAAUGAGAGACAAUUAUGAGUAAAUAAGUUUUAACAUCAAUUAACAUGCUGUACUACCCAUAUGGUUGAGCAUCUGAACUUUAUAAGCUCUAGAAUCACAGUGUAUUUCAUUAUUUCUGUCAGGACUAAAGGGAAAAUUACACAUCAGCUUUCAUGACAUGUAUUUCCAAAUACGCAGCUUGUUAAUUGAAGCAUGGAAAAGUACGGACCAUAUCCAAGACAAGACAUUAUUUGGCUGAACAUGUAUAAAACAAUGGAUUGAGAGAAAUAUGUUUUGACACUGUAAUAUGGUAAAAUAGUGAUACUCAAAAAUGUAAACUACAUUGACAACAUACAAUGAUACCUGUAUUUAGUAAACACAGGUUCAGAUUUUUUUUUGUAACUUCAGUAGCUUUGCUAUCCUUUUUGCUCAUCCUCCUCAAUUUCUGAAUGAUUUUAAAGAGAAAUUGGGAAGACUGAGCAUUGAACUAAACUGAUGGCAUCUGGUAAAAUGUCUAUUGAAGGAAAAUGAAUGUUCCUAGAGAAAAAUUGAAGUCUUAAAGCAAAUAUUUUCCAUUUGGAAUAAUAUUUUAAUGUAAAGAGAAAAUUUUUAAGACUGCAUCAAUUAUUUCUGCAGAAGACAAUACUACCAUCAGUCAUCCUUUAGUUUUUUCUGACUCUCAGCAACAAAUCUUCUUCUACAAUCUUAGGAUAUCUAAAUAUACUUUUGUUGCAUUUUUAUGUUGUCUUAACAGGACUUGGAAGUGCAUUCUAUGUAUGUCUUCACAUAUGUAUUUUUAACUUUGAAAGGAGAAUUGACAGGAAGUGGUUAUAUUGCCUGAGUUACCAUGAGUAAGAUUAGAGCUUUUUCACACACACCUCAGUGAGUGAUUUUUUUUAUUUUUAUUUUUUUUUUUUCUUCCUUAGUUUUGAAAUAUUCUGUUUUGGAUUAAGGUUUCUAUGUGACUGCUUCUGUAAAGGAAGUUGUUUAAAGCAUCCAACUUUGUUGGAAUGCUAUUAUUAAUCUCAUAUUAACGCAGAAAAGCACAUACCAAUAAAGAACGUUGAAUGUUU